rnacentral:rRNA from 1 species
UUAAGCGACUAAGCGUACACGGUGGAUGCCCUGGCAGUCAGAGGCGAUGAAGGACGUGCUAAUCUGCGAUAAGCGUCGGUAAGGUGAUAUGAACCGUUAUAACCGGCGAUUUCCGAAUGGGGAAACCCAGUGUGUUUCGACACACUAUCAUUAACUGAAUCCAUAGGUUAAUGAGGCGAACCGGGGGAACUGAAACAUCUAAGUACCCCGAGGAAAAGAAAUCAACCGAGAUUCCCCCAGUAGCGGCGAGCGAACGGGGAGCAGCCCAGAGCCUGAAUCAGUGUGUGUGUUAGUGGAAGCGUCUGGAAAGGCGCGCGAUACAGGGUGACAGCCCCGUACACAAAAUGCACAUGCUGUGAGCUCGAUGAGUAGGGCGGGACACGUGGUAUCCUGUCUGAAUAUGGGGGACCAUCCUCCAAGGCUAAAUACUCCUGACUGACCGAUAGUGAACCAGUACCGUGAGGGAAAGGCGAAAAGAACCCCGGCGAGGGGAGUGAAAAAGAACCUGAAACCGUGUACGUACAAGCAGUGGGAGCACGCUUAGGCGUGUGACUGCGUACCUUUUGUAUAAUGGGUCAGCGACUUAUAUUCUGUAGCAAGGUUAACCGAAUAGGGGAGCCGAAGGGAAACCGAGUCUUAACUGGGCGUUAAGUUGCAGGGUAUAGACCCGAAACCCGGUGAUCUAGCCAUGGGCAGGUUGAAGGUUGGGUAACACUAACUGGAGGACCGAACCGACUAAUGUUGAAAAAUUAACGGAUGACUUGUGGCUGGGGGUGAAAGGCCAAUCAAACCGGGAGAUAGCUGGUUCUCCCCGAAAGCUAUUUAGGUAGCGCCUCGUGAAUUCAUCUCCGGGGGUAGAGCACUGUUUCGGCAAGGGGGUCAUCCCGACUUACCAACCCGAUGCAAACUGCGAAUACCGGAGAAUGUUAUCACGGGAGACACACGGCGGGUGCUAACGUCCGUCGUGAAGAGGGAAACAACCCAGACCGCCAGCUAAGGUCCCAAAGUCAUGGUUAAGUGGGAAACGAUGUGGGAAGGCCCAGACAGCCAGGAUGUUGGCUUAGAAGCAGCCAUCAUUUAAAGAAAGCGUAAUAGCUCACUGGUCGAGUCGGCCUGCGCGGAAGAUGUAACGGGGCUAAACCAUGCACCGAAGCUGCGGCAGCGACGCUGAUGCGUUGUUGGGUAGGGGAGCGUUCUGUAAGCCUGCGAAGGUGUGCUGUGAGGCAUGCUGGAGGUAUCAGAAGUGCGAAUGCUGACAUAAGUAACGAUAAAGCGGGUGAAAAGCCCGCUCGCCGGAAGACCAAGGGUUCCUGUCCAACGUUAAUCGGGGCAGGGUGAGUCGACCCCUAAGGCGAGGCCGAAAGGCGUAGUCGAUGGGAAACAGGUUAAUAUUCCUGUACUUGGUGUUACUGCGAAGGGGGGACGGAGAAGGCUAUGUUGGCCGGGCGACGGUUGUCCCGGUUUAAGCGUGUAGGCUGGUUUUCCAGGCAAAUCCGGAAAAUCAAGGCUGAGGCGUGAUGACGAGGCACUACGGUGCUGAAGCAACAAAUGCCCUGCUUCCAGGAAAAGCCUCUAAGCAUCAGGUAACAUCAAAUCGUACCCCAAACCGACACAGGUGGUCAGGUAGAGAAUACCAAGGCGCUUGAGAGAACUCGGGUGAAGGAACUAGGCAAAAUGGUGCCGUAACUUCGGGAGAAGGCACGCUGAUAUGUAGGUGAAGUCCCUUGCGGAUGGAGCUGAAAUCAGUCGAAGAUACCAGCUGGCUGCAACUGUUUAUUAAAAACACAGCACUGUGCAAACACGAAAGUGGACGUAUACGGUGUGACGCCUGCCCGGUGCCGGAAGGUUAAUUGAUGGGGUCAGCGCAAGCGAAGCUCUUGAUCGAAGCCCCGGUAAACGGCGGCCGUAACUAUAACGGUCCUAAGGUAGCGAAAUUCCUUGUCGGGUAAGUUCCGACCUGCACGAAUGGCGUAAUGAUGGCCAGGCUGUCUCCACCCGAGACUCAGUGAAAUUGAACUCGCUGUGAAGAUGCAGUGUACCCGCGGCAAGACGGAAAGACCCCGUGAACCUUUACUAUAGCUUGACACUGAACAUUGAGCCUUGAUGUGUAGGAUAGGUGGGAGGCUUAGAAGUGUGGACGCCAGUCUGCAUGGAGCCGACCUUGAAAUACCACCCUUUAAUGUUUGAUGUUCUAACGUUGACCCGUAAUCCGGGUUGCGGACAGUGUCUGGUGGGUAGUUUGACUGGGGCGGUCUCCUCCUAAAGAGUAACGGAGGAGCACGAAGGUUGGCUAAUCCUGGUCGGACAUCAGGAGGUUAGUGCAAUGGCAUAAGCCAGCUUGACUGCGAGCGUGACGGCGCGAGCAGGUGCGAAAGCAGGUCAUAGUGAUCCGGUGGUUCUGAAUGGAAGGGCCAUCGCUCAACGGAUAAAAGGUACUCCGGGGAUAACAGGCUGAUACCGCCCAAGAGUUCAUAUCGACGGCGGUGUUUGGCACCUCGAUGUCGGCUCAUCACAUCCUGGGGCUGAAGUAGGUCCCAAGGGUAUGGCUGUUCGCCAUUUAAAGUGGUACGCGAGCUGGGUUUAGAACGUCGUGAGACAGUUCGGUCCCUAUCUGCCGUGGGCGCUGGAGAACUGAGGGGGGCUGCUCCUAGUACGAGAGGACCGGAGUGGACGCAUCACUGGUGUUCGGGUUGUCAUGCCAAUGGCACUGCCCGGUAGCUAAAUGCGGAAGAGAUAAGUGCUGAAAGCAUCUAAGCACGAAACUUGCCCCGAGAUGAGUUCUCCCUGACCCUUUAAGGGUCCUGAAGGAACGUUGAAGACGACGACGUUGAUAGGCCGGGUGUGUAAGCGCAGCGAUGCGUUGAGCUAACCGGUACUAAUGAACCGUGAGGCUUAACCUU